rnacentral:lncRNA from 1 species
CAGCACAGCGCUGACUUCACACCACACACCACUAGUUGAACAAAGAGAACGCUGUUCAACUAGACUAGGGGGGAGUAGCUGAUGAGGACUGUAAUUCCCAUCAGCGCUGUGCUUAGCAAUCUAAGCCUAUUUUACCUUAUUAUUACUAUUAUUAUUAUUAUUACAGAAACUAACAGCGCAGGUACGAUCGGAUAUCUUAGAUAAAAGAGUAAGAAAUCCACCUAAGUAGAUGGAGUGAAGAAUGAUUGCACACAGAAACCUUCCCACGCAGCCAAGGUGCCUUCCUACGCAGCCAAGUAGCUUUCCCGUGCAGCCGCGCAGCCAAACCAGAGCAGCGCAGCCGAGCUGCACAGCCAGACCAGAGCAGCGCAGCCGAGCUGCACAGCCAGACCAGAGCAGCGCAGACCAGAGUAGAGCAGCGCAGACCAAAGCAGAGCAGCGCGGCAGCGCUGUGCAGUCAGAGCAGCGCCACCAAAGUGUCUCUCCACGCAGCCACGUAUGAUGGUUCGGCUUGGGGAUUAAGAUCAUUGUAUUAUGUUUUGGGCUUAAAUUCAAUUAUUAGAGUUCGUGGGCCUAAGGCCUUUAGGGUUCAUUCUCACAGCUAUAAAUAUGAGCUUUAGCAUUAGCAUAAGGAUCAACUCAUUCAAACAACACACUUGUAAUAUGUAACUCUCUCUCAAAGUAUAGUGAAACGAAGGAAGAACAUCCCGUGGACGUAGGUCUUGAUGGCCGAACCACGUAAAUUCGUGUGUCAUUUAUCGCUUUCUAAUUUCUAGUUUAGGUGUUGGUGAUUCCGUGCUUCACCACUAUGGGCUCGCCACUUGGAUCGAUAUUCAGGGAAGUUUUUCUCUUUCACCCCUCUUUUUGCGAGCACUGAGGACAGUGCUAGAUUUUAAGUGUGGGUGUUUGUUGAUCCUAUGGGUUUUGUUGUGUUUUUGGGCUUUCUUGUGUGGGGCAAAUGGUCUCCUUUAUCUUGAUUGUUGCUUGGCUUCAAGUAAUAAUGCACACUUUGAUGAUUUGUUCACAAGUAAAUUUCAUGAAUUAUGUUGGCUUGGUUGCUAUCUUUGUCUCUCAGGCUAUGCAUAUUCCUCACUUGAUGUAAGUUGUUUAAUAUUUUGGAUGCAACACCCUUAUGAGCUAUUCUUGACGUGAUUUGUCCGGUAGAUGCUAGAGGGAGUGUUUUCAUUGUGAUAGCCUAUGAUCUUAUCCCUUGAGUUUGAAUGUUGGUUUGUUGUGAAGUUUUCUAUAGCUCUGGGUCUCUGCUCCUCUGACGGUAGUGUUAUGAGCAUGGAAAACCACGUGAGAACAUUUUGGAUUACCUCCAAAAGUGUUGAUCUCACGAAAGUUGGCCCAUCUAUUGAGAAUGGAAUAACAUCACCUUGAAAAGAAAGAUGUCUAAAAUUAUAUUUGGUUUGAUUGGUUAUCAUCUUCAAGAAAAAUGGGAUUUGAUUAUAAAGGCAAUCACAUUAGGAAAUUCACCUCUAGCGGAGAAUCGGGUCUGAUCGAAUUGAAUUGUAUCAUGUGGUUGUUUCUUCUUAAAAUCUUAACAAUGAACAUCUCAUGAGGAAUGUAAUGGCUAAGAGACUUUGAUUGGUUGGAGAUGUGAAUGGUGAGGAAGGUUUUCUUGCGAACUAUCAUUUGGUGUUGUGACUUUGCUUGAGGACAAGCAAAGGAUCAAGUGUGGGGGGGUUGUUUAGCCCUAUUUUGUGAUGAAUCUCUGGGUGUUUAUGUGUUAUAUUGACUUUUAUUUUGGUCUCUUUCACUUAAGAGUUGAAUGAUUUGAGCUUUUGUGCUAAUUUUGUUGUCUCAGGAUUUUGUGCUCACAUUGAUUGAUAUGUGAACAAAAGUAAAGUCAGAAUUUAGUUGAAUGGUCUGAAGAAGAAUCGAAGUUCGUCUCGAUACGAGUUCGUAGGCGAAAACGGAUCUAAAAUCCGACUUAAAACGAGGGAGAAUGAACCAAACAAAAAUGCUGCGCAUNUGUACCAUCUUAAGGGCCGCCCUGCGGGAGUGUAUCAUCUUUGUCAGUGCAGGUAGUGCAGCGCAGUCAGCGUGGGGUUGUCAGCGCAGUCGGUGCAGCGUAGUCAGCGCAAGGUUGUCAACGCAGAUCACUUGAGUCUUCCCAGCACAGGUUAUCUAAGCCCUUAUUAUCUUUAAUGAUGUUCGACGAAUCAAAAGGAAUAAUUGCUAUCUCUUUUAUCUCAGCUUAUUUCCAGCAUUAAAAUACUUUGUCUUUAUCAUUUUUGCAAAGAUUGACAGUUCUUGUCUAAAAAGUCGCAGGGAAUCGUGUAUGCUUAAUUGACACGGGAGAGCAGCACAGCGCUGACUUCACACCACACACCACUAGUUGAACAAAGAGAACGCUGUUCAACUAGACUAGGGGGGGUGUAGCUGAUGAGGACUGUAAUUCCCAUCAGCGCUGUGCUUAGCAAUCUAAGCCUAUUUUACCUUAUUAUUACUAUUAUUAUUAUUAUUACAGAAACUAACAGCGCAGGUACGAUCGGAUAUCUUAGAUAAAAGAGUAAGAAAUCCACCUAAGUAGAUGGAGUGAAGAAUGAUUGCACACA